rnacentral:rRNA from 1 species
AUUGAACGCUGGCGGCAUGCCUAACACAUGCAAGUCGAGCGGAAGAAGGCCGCAUGUUCCUGACUUGUGUCGAGGGCGGGCGUGUUACACCGAGGCGUGUCCCGGCGCGGGGGGGAUAUCCUCCCUAGAGGAGCGCUAAUCUCAUACACGCUAUGAAUGAGAACGGGGGGGUUCAACGGAUCUCGCGCUUCUAGCUGCCCCUAGGUCGUAUUAGCUAGUUGGUGGGGUAAAGGCUUACCAAGGCAACGAUCCAUAUCUGGUCUGAGAGGAUGAUCAGACACACUGGAACUGAGACACGGUCCAGACUCCUACGGGAGGCAGCAGUGGGGAAUAUUGGACAAUGGGCGAAAGCCUGAUCCAGCAAUGCCGCGUGUGUGAAGAAGGUCUUCGGAUUGUAAACUGCUUUUAUUAGGGAGGAAAAGGCGUUGGUUAAUACCUGGGUAUAUUGACGGUACCGAAAGAAUAAGCACCGGCUAACUACGUG